UGAGUAAUGUCUGGGAAACUGCCUGAUGGAGGGGGAUAACUACUGGAAACGGUAGCUAAUACCGCAUAACGUCGCAAGACCAAAGAGGGGGACCUUCGGGCCUCUUGCCAUCAGAUGUGCCCAGAUGGGAUUAGCUAGUAGGUGGGGUAAUGGCUCACCUAGGCGACGAUCCCUAGCUGGUCUGAGAGGAUGACCAGCCACACUGGAACUGAGACACGGUCCAGACUCCUACGGGAGGCAGCAGUGGGGAAUAUUGCACAAUGGGCGCAAGCCUGAUGCAGCCAUGCCGCGUGUGGGAAGAAGGCCUUCGGGUUGUAAAGCACUUUCAGCGAGGAGGAAGGUGGUGAGCUUAAUACGCUCAUCAAUUGACGUUACUCGCAGAAGAAGCACCGGCUAACUCCGUGCCAGCAGCCGCGGUAAUACGGAGGGUGCAAGCGUUAAUCGGAAUUACUGGGCGUAAAGCGCACGCAGGCGGUUUGUUAAGUCAGAUGUGAAAUCCCCGGG
rnacentral:rRNA from 1 species